UUGGGAAAGGACUCACCUUUCAUGGGCUGACCAUUGGGAGUUUGACUUUGCUACACUAAGAAUACAGGCAACACAAACUGUACUUGGUAUAUUUUUCAUUAUUUUUUUUCUUAUGGAGGACGGGGCCAACAAGGAUAGGAGGGUGCACCUGGGACUGAUGGGAAGCAAUCAUGAUGUGGUGCACUGUGAAAUUCCCAAAUAAUCAAUUUUAAAAUGCUGGAAAAAAAAAACAAUCUGUAAGAAUAUUUCAAAUGUUUGAUAUAGAAAAACUUAACUAGUUAAAAGUUCAACCAACCCCUCAAGUUCUAUUGCUAUUUCUUCCUUUCAGAACCAUGCCAAGUUGCUUUCUGCUUCUGAAUUUAAUGUUUGCCACUCACUGAAAAUCUCUACUACCUUAGCAUGAUGGAUAAGGUAUUAGCUGGCUCUUGCAUCCAUGUAUCAAUUCAAGUGACACUUCCUCUUUGAGGUCUUCCAUGAUUUCCAAUCUAUUACCCCACCAGCCUCCAUGGGGUCCUUCCCUGAUAUUACUGAAUACUAUCAUUUUUUAAAUUUAUUAGCAGUAGGUCUAUAGUUCAUGUAAGUGAUUUAUUCUGACCUUCCCUCUUUGAAAUGUGAGACCUUGCCGGGUGGUGGCGCACACCUUUAAUCCUAGCACUAGGGAGGCAAAGGAAGGCGGAUUUCUGAGUUCGAGCCUGGUCUACAAAGUGAGUUCCAGGACAGCCAGGGCUACACAGAGAAACCCUGUCUCAAAAACCAAAAAAAAAAAAAAAAAAGAAAAGAAAGAAAGAAAUGUGAGACCAUGUUGUUUUGUCUAAUCCUUUGGUUCUACUGUCUAAUCCAAAUGCUGACACACAGUAGAAGGUACUUUAUGAUCAAUAUCUUCUUGGUGCAAUGUGUAAAUGAAUAUAUUUACUUAAGGCAAAGGAGACUGAAAGCAAUUUGAAGAGACUAUGGCUUAAUCAACGCUUGGGAGAAAAAAAAAAUAACGCUUCGGUAAGCAAGCGGGAUGAGAAGGAAGAGUUCAAAAUGGGAACAUGAUGCUUGACAGCGGAGGGCUUUGACCCUCUGGAGUGGGUGAUUUUACUUUUGCCUGGGGGUAAUGGGAAUGCUUCUAACAAGGCUGACAUAAUAACAUACUAUUUUAAGAAAGCUAAGUGGGAAUAACACACCAGAUUAGGGUGGGAGUUGGUGAGCUCAGAUAGAAGCAGGUACCAGUUCGGAAUAAUAUCACUGAUAGCUUUGCUGUGAUAGCAAGGGACCUUUGAGGUGUUAGUCUCAUUGGAAAGUAGACUUAGCUUGGAAACACCAUGAGAAGAUUCGUCUUCUGUAGCAGGGCCCAUUCAGCUGUCUGAUCUGAUCAAAGAAUAGCAGCAUUGAACUAGAGGUAUAAUUUUAUAUCUCUUGAAUGACAUUUUCUGUCAUUAUUAUUUGCAUAUUCCUUCUUUCUGUAUUGAGAAUUUUUUUCCAGGAAAAAAAGUCAUUGCAGGUGACUUCAUAGAAGCCUGGUUUAUCCCUAGCUUAUGUUUGAAGCCAUUUACCUAUUAGUAAAUAAUUCCCUGCUUUAUAACUGAGGAGGUUGCUGGCGCAAUUGACCUGGAAAGGCUUAAUAUUGAUUAGAAUAAGAAUCAAUCUGCAUGAACUUGAUUUUCUUAUAGGAACGUAUGGGUAUUCAGACAUCAUCCUACUUUAGUGUGUCAUUAAAUUUAGAAUAGGGAACAAUAGUCCUGAGACUGUUGAUCUUUUAUCCCACAUUUUCGUGGUUCACUAUUUGUUGUGCUCAAUUUGUGCUCUGAGAGUUGCCUCUGGGAGGCUUCCAAACUGGAGUCAGCCCAGGAUGGCACCCCAAGACUUCCCUUAUGAGGGUUAGCCCUAGCUCAUCUUUCAUUUGUUUUUCUCAGUCCCUGGACAAAAAUUCCAGAACCAUCCACUUGACACCAAACUUUCUAGGCUGGUUUUUUUUUUUUUUUUUUUUUUUUUUUAACUGUCAAUCGCUGCUAUGAUUUUCAAGGACUGUUCUAUAUUCUUUCUGUUCAGGCGGUUCAUAAUCCUGGCAGGACACAGCUCUCUGAAGCUGAGAACUUUGAAGCAGUUUCAGUAGGAAAACCAAAUAGUCCUGACAUUUCUACUUACUAGACUUCACUUACAGUUCAUUUCAGAGGGUGACAAUUAGAAGAAACAAGGAAGGGCUUUGUUUUGUUUUGCCAGACUCAUUUCAAGGAACACUACACACAGCCUGCCUACUUGCUUGUUUGGUUAUAGAAAAUGUUUCCACUGCUCUUACGGCUGCAUAGUUAUGGAAAAUCGCUUUGGGUGCCAAACCCACCAGCAACAUUCACAACACCAAAGGCCUCUGCACUUGACUUAGUGUGAAUUUCUCCUUACUUGAAUAGAUCAGCCAAGAGUUAAAAAGUGUCACUGGCCCUUGGAAAUGGGACAGGAUCAGUCAACCUCAAUCUGAGCCCCCACUCACUGUUGAUAAGCAAAGAGAAGUUUCCUGGAUUGCAAGGUAAUAGUUUCUCAUGGGAAUGCAACCAUGUAAUCGUUGCAGAAUUUAGUCCACUGGCCUCCACAUUGCUCCUUUGCUUGGAAGCUUACUCUGCCAAGGAUUUGUGAUGGUUAUUAAAGAUGACUUGGAAAGUUAAAAAAGGCCAAGGAAGUCGUUGUGGCUUCUAUCACUGUUUUGACAUCGCUUACUACAAUUUUCUAUGAGGUAGGAUCAGAGAUAUUAUUACUGGUGCAUAGUAUUGUUAGCUAAAUUACAGUAUGCCUCUCAUUCAAUUUCACACUAGGAAAAAUUGAAAACUUCUAACAGACAAGGAAAUUAUUAUGUAAGAACUUGCAUGGUACAAAGAAAUCCAAGAAAUAAAUGAUUCAUCUUGAGUAUUCUGAAAGACACCUUAUUAUUAGUCUAAUACAUAAAUAACUGGGAUGAAUUAUCCCAUAUCUAUAAGUAGCUUUAUCUGGAUAAAUCAGCCACUGGGAUCAUAUUUAUGAAUUCAUGGACAUAAUGUAAUUAUGAAAUAUUCAUUACAGUUUCCUUAUAUGAAAGUGUGGAAAUUCACUCCACACUCAAAGUUUAAGGAAAAAAGAAAAAAAAAAAACCCAGUUCAAUGAAAGGUUUGGCUUUUCCUUUUAUAGGGAUUUACAGUACUUAUCAACGGGUAUAGUUCACAUUAGCAUCCGGUGACAUUGCUUUGUCUGUAUAUAUUUCUAGCUGUCAACAGAAUGUCCUGAGGCAAUUGCAUCUCGAUUCUAUAGCUAUCUUCUAUUCUUUUAGAAUACACAAGGGUCUAAUUUUCCAUUGGCAAAGCAUGAAAUCAUGUAAGAAUGCCACGUAGACAGCAUGUGCAAACAAGUAUCUGUUUUUCAACACAUCAAAAUGCUUGGUAAUCUCACUGAAGUAAAGAACUGGGAAACCAAGACUUGUUAUAAGAAAUUAAGGUUUUCUUCAAAGAACUAGCAAUAUCCUGAAACUCAAGCAAAUUUGUUCACUACUUUACAUGUUAAUAUGUGUAGCUAUAUCAUUCUUCUUUGAUUUAGAGUAAAAUUGCUUUAUAUCAGAAGUAUCUUGUGGUUAUAGAUCACGUGCACUUUAACUUCAUCACGCAUGGUGCUUGGCAAUCAUCAAAUUAACACUGCACUGAAUAGGCUAUGACUUGCAUCUGACUACGUUAACUUUAAGAACCAUUCAGUACAGUGUACUGAAAGGAUGUAUAAACUAAGUGUUCAUUUAUUCAUUGUUUGGGUGCAGUGGGAUAGGCAGUCAAAGUAAACAUGAAUUCUCU
rnacentral:lncRNA from 1 species